UGGGGAAUAUUGCGCAAUGGGGGAAACCCUGACGCAGCGACGCCGCGUGGGUGAUGAAGGCCUUCGGGUCGUAAAGCCCUGUCGUAGGGGAAGAACCGGUUACGGGCUAAUAUCCCGUGACCUUGACGGUACCCUACAAGCAAGCACCGGCUAACUCCGUUCCAGCAGCCGCGGUAAUACGGAGGGUGCGAGCGUUGUUCGGAAUUACUGGGCGUAAAGAGCGUGUAGGCGGCUUGCCAAGUCCGAUGUGAAAGCCCGGGGCUUACCCCCGGAAGUGCGUUGGAAACUGGCGAGCUAGAGUAUGGGAGAGGGAAGUGGAAUUCCUGGUGUAGCGGUGAAAUGCGUAGAUAUCAGGAGGAACACCGGCGGCGAAGGCGGCUUCCUGGACCAAUACUGACGCUGAGACGCGAAAGCGUGGGGAGCAA
rnacentral:rRNA from 1 species